AAAAAAGGAAUUUAGAGAGGAUCUGUGUAACAGGAAAAGUUCCCUUACCCUGGGAACCUCCCUUUACUAGCUAUGAGACCAGCCAGGACAAAAAGGGAGCUUCAGAGGCUCAGAGGAGAAUGCAGCAAUCAGCUUCAGCAAGCAAAACAGAGAUAUGCACAGAAUGUCCAGGCCACCUCACUGCAUGCCUCAGUUCUAGAUACAUGUCCAGUGAUGUGCUUGGGGACUGGAUGCUGAAACCUGGGCUUCAGCAGACAGACCUAGGGAAAGGACUGGGGUUGGUUACAUGGAGACAGCCCAAAGGGACUGGAGGGUAGCCCAGGUGCAUCAUAGAAGCCCCAUUCUCAGUGUGCUCAUAGAAGGCACAACUCUACCUCUCCAAGCUCUGGGAGCUGCAAGUGCCUGCAACUGCCAAAAACUGGAGGCCAGGUUGAAAUAUGAGCAGAUUCCCAGGGGCUGCAUGACUUCUAAAGCAGGACUGAAAUCUAAGCUAUGUCCAGUGGCUUUGCAACUUUGGCAAUUUUACACUGCCAGUGCCUUUGUGAGCAUACAGUCUGAAGGAUAUCAGAAUGGAUUAUUUGUGAGCUUACAGUCUGAGGGAUAUCAGAAUGGAUUAUUGGUGGUCUCAAGGUCUCCAAGUUAGCACCUUUGGGCUUUGGAGGCAAGAAUGUGGAGACGUGGCCAAGAUUUGCACUGGUGGCUCUGUGACCACCUGGGAAUUCAGGGUUGAUUGCUUGCAUUCCCAAGGCUGAUGAGAGGCAAAGGCAUUUUGUGGGCACCAUAACAGGUGACAGAUGACACAGAGCACACUUCCCAAUGGACAGCUCCUUCAGAGAAAUACUCAGUAGCUCCCUUCCCAGAAGAAGUGCUACAGUCUGGCAGACCCCACAACACACCUCAGAAACAGAUAUGGGACAUCUGCUCAAACAACUGGGGGGGUAGACCCUGCUCCCAACAGAGCUGUGACAGUCACAGAGCAAAGGGGAUCCCCCACUCAACCAACAGUAUAGGCUCUGGUCACCACACCAGUGACAUCUCCUAUCAAAGGGAUAAUAGCCAGCACCACUGAGGCAACAUGAGGGAGGUAUCCAUACUAAAAAAGAGCCCUAAAAAUAAAAAAAUUAGACUCACACAGGUCACAGAGGGGCACGCCUGCACAAAAACAAUCCUUCAAGGCCACAAUAGUUAACUGUUUUUCCUAAAUUCAUAGGGUUAUAGAAAUAUAAAAUGAUGUGGCAGAGGAACCCCUCCCAGUGAAAAGAAUAAGAGAAAUCCCUUGAAAGAAUAAACAAUGAAAUAGACCACUCCAAUCUACUAGAUACCAAGUUUAAAAAGGAGUUAAUAAAAAUACUAAAGGUAGUAAGAAAUGCUAUUAAUAGAAAUGCAUAUCAAUGUAAGGAGGAGCUAUAAACUAUAAAGAGGAAAUUAAAAUUUAAAAAGUCAUUUGGCAAGAUGAAAGCUGAAUUAAAGGCAAUAAAUAGAAAACUAAGUAAUACAGACUAAUGAAUAAGUGAUAUGGAAGGCAGAAUAAUGUAAAUCACCCAAAUAGAAAAGAAGACAGGAAGACAAUUAAAAAAAAAAAGAAAACAAUAUAUGAGUUCUAUAGGAUAAUAUUAAACAAGCCAAUCUACUUUUAAUAGGGAUCCCUGAAGGAGAAGAAAGAAAAUGGGGUAUCAAAAUGUACCUAAGAAAUUGUGGCUGAUAACUUUGCAAACCUAAAUGAAACAGAUACCCUGGUAAAGGAGGCACAGAGGGUUCCAAAAAAGAUGAACCCAAACAGAUUUACAUCAAGAUGUAUUAUAAGUAAAAUGGUAAAAAUUAAAGAUAAAAAGAGGAUUCUAAAGGCAGCAAGAUAAAAACAAAGAGAUAAUUACAAGGGAACCCCCAUAGGUUACCAGAUGAUUUCUCUAUAGAAACAUCUCUGGCAAGAAGGGAGUAGCAAGAUAUAUUCAAAGCUCCUAAAAGGGAAAAACUUGCAACCUAGGAUAUGCUACCCAGGAAGAUUAUAAUUCAGAAUAGAAGGAGAGAUAAAAGAAUUUCUCAGACAAGCAAAACUAAAAGAAUACAGCACUACUAAAUCUAUCCUAAAAGAAAUUCUGAAAGAUGUUCUGUGAAUAAAAAAGAAGCGAUAAUCUCUAAGAAAGAGCAAAUCACAAUUAGAAAACAAGUCAAAUAAGGCAGUGCAUAGAUUUAAAGGAAAAAAUUUUUUGACAACAAAGGUAAUUACAAUGAAUAGCUAAAUAUAAAUAUGAAGAUAUAAGAACAUCAAAAUCAUAAAAGGUGGGGGAGAAGAGUAAGAAAAUUAAUUUUUUAGAAUGUGUUUGACACUAUAUUACUAUAAGCCUAAAGCAAAUAGAUGUAGGAAUGGGUUAACAUAAAUCAGCAGAAAGGAGGAAAUGAUAAAAAAAUCAGAAAAAUAAAUAAAAACUAAGAUCCAGUUUUUUGAAAAAUUAAAGAAAACUAAGGAAACUCUGGCCAGGCUCACCAAGAAUUAAAAGAGGGAGGACCAAAUAAAAUAAGAAAUGAAAGAGGAGAAACAAUAGCCAAUACUGCAGAAAUACAAAAAAAGAAUGAAAGAAAAAGAAAAUAUGAUAAAGAAGUAUAUGACAACAAACUGGAUAACUCAGAAGAAAUGGACAAAUACUCCCAAGCUCAUUCCAUGAUACCAUCAUUCCCUGAUACCAAAACCAAAUAAGGAUAACACACAAAAAAGAAAAUUCCAGUGAUAUCACUGAUGAACAUAGGUAUAAAAAUCCUCAACAAAAUACUAGCAAACCAAAUCCAAAUAUAUAUUAAAAGGAUCAUACACCAUGAUCAAGUGGGAUUUAGCCCUGGGAUGCAAGGAUUCUUUAGUAUGAGCAAAUCAAUCAAUGUGAUACACCACAUCAACAAACUGAGGCAUAAAAACCAUAUGAUCAUUUUUAUAGAGCAGAAAAGGCUUUUGACAAAAUUCAACCCCAUUUCUGAAAAAAACUCCACAGACUGGGCAUAGAGGAAACCCUACCUUGACAUAAUAAAAGCUAUAUGUGAAAAACCCACAGCUAAUAUUCUCAAUUGUGAAAAACUGAAAACAUUUCAACUAAGAUCAGGAACAAGAAAAGGAUUCCACUUUCACCACCAUCAUUGAACACAGUUUUGGAAGUUCUAGCCACAGAAAUCAGAGAAGAAAAAGAAAUAAAAGGAAUCCAAUUUGGAAAAGAAGUAAAACUAUCACCGUUUGCAGAUUACAUGAUACUAUACCUAGAAAACCCUAAAGAUAGUACCAGAAAAUUUUUAAACUCAUCAAUGAAUUUGGCCAAGUUUCAGGAUACAAAAUUAAUAUGCAUAAAUACAUUUCAUUUCCAUACACUAACAAUGGAAGAUUAGAAAGAGAAAUCAGAGAAACCACCCCAUUUACUAUCACAUCAAAAAGAAUAAAAUACCUAAGAAUAAACCUACCUAAAGAGACAAAAGAGUUAUGCUCUGAAAACUAUAAAAUGUUGAUGAAAUAAAAAAAUGACACAAACAGAUGGAAAGAUAUACCAUGCUCUUGGAUUGGAAAAAUCAAUAUUGUCAAAAUGACUUUACUACUCAAGACAAUUUACAAUUGCAAUCCCUAUCAAAUUACCAAGAACAUUCAUUGCAAUCCCUAUCAAAUUACCAAGAACAUUCUUCACAGAACUAGACAGAUAUUUUAAAAUUUGUAUGGAAACACAAGAGACCCUGAAUAGCCAAAGCAAUAUUG
rnacentral:lncRNA from 1 species